rnacentral:tRNA from 1 species
UGCCGGAUGGUGUAAUGGUAGCACGCCAGGUUCUGGCCCUGGAAAUUGGGGUUCGACUCCCUGUCCGGCAGCAA